AGCAGCCGCGGUAAUUCCAGCUCCAAUAGCGUAUAUUAAAGUUGUUGCAGUUAAAAAGCUCGUAGUUGAAUUUCGGGAUUGGCGCAUCGGUCGUGCCUCACGGGGUAUGAACUGGUGCAGUCAAUUUCUCACCUUCUGGAGAACCGCGAUGUCCUUAAUUGGAUGCCGCGGGGAACCAGGACCUUUACUUUGAAAAAAUUAGAGUGUUUAAAGCAGGCAUUUUUGCUUGAAUACAUUAGCAUGGAAUAAUAAAAUAGGACGGCAUGGUUCUAUUUUGUUGGUUUCUAGGACCACCGUAAUGAUUAAUAGGGAUAGUUGGGGGCAUUAGUAUUCAAUUGUCAGAGGUGAAAUUCUUGGAUUUAUUGAAGACUAACUACUGCGAAAGCAUUUGCCAAGGAUGUUUUCAUUAAUCAAGAACGAAAGUUAGGGGAUCGAAGACGAUCAGAUACCGUCGUAGUCUUAACCAUAAACUAUGCUGACUAGGAAUCAGACGAUGUUAAUUUUUUAAUGACUCGUUUGG
rnacentral:misc_RNA from 1 species